GGAACGAGCGAAUGUUAAUAAUAAUAAUACGGCCGACGCGGUUGUGGCGGCGGUGUAUCCACUAUCCAUUACCGCCGACGGUAAACAGUCUUUAUUGUGCGGCGUGCGACCUGCCGAGAAUUUACAAUGUUCGCCAAAUAGCUCCAGCAGCGGUCGAACGCGAGAAACAUACCUAUACUCUGUUCAUCGGCGAUAAUGGACUAGACGAAAAGCUUAACAAAAUCGUGCCUACCGUUUUAUUUUCGUACGACUGCAGGGCGGUUGUAGACAAAAAAUACGAUAGCGCAGCAGUCUGCUGCAGAGACAAAACAAACCUGAAAUAACCAUUAAUACGAUUUACAAUUAGAGCUAAUAUUAAGUUAUUGAUUUGGGCUAUUAUGAGAAACCAAAAACAAGCUCUACUCAAAGACCGCAGACGUUUCGCCACUGUAUUAUAGCUAUAGUGCGUGGGCAAUAUUAUGUUAUAUCAAAGUAACCGCGUUAAGUUACCAAAAGUAAAUAUCGUCAAUAGUCCUGUAUGCCACGGCAUCGAAUCAAAGACAAUAAGAACAAAAGAACCAAGCAAGAUUUGCAACGCUGUAUAAGCUAUAAAUAAAUAAUAGCAUCAAAUACAAGUAAACAUUGUCAAAUGUACGAACUUUCAAACCAAAGAUAAUUGCGCAUAAAAAAAAAAUUAAAAUAAACGAUGACAUUGAAAACGAACUCGUUGCAACGUUCUGUGAAUAUUUAUAAUAAUACUAUGCUAUAUAUUAGUGAAACUGCAGGGGUGCGAUAAUAAUGAAAAACAUUUAGGUGAAAUUUUUAU